CUUUGAUUUCUGCACCUAUAAGUUUGUAUGAUCUCUAUUUAACCGAACAUCGAUCAGCUCAGCUUUAUCCAUCAAUACAUACAUUUUCAUUUCGAUAACAAGAAAAAAAUGCCAGGGAUCACACUAGGAGACACGGUGCCAAACCUAGAGGUGGAGACGACACACAAGAACUUCAAGCUCCAUGACUACUUCGCCGAUUCUUGGACCGUCCUCUUCUCUCACCCUGGGGAUUUCACACCUGUAUGCACAACCGAGCUUGGUGCGAUGGGAAAAUACGCUCAUGAGUUCGAGCAGAGAGGUGUGAAGCUCCUUGGUUUGUCUUGUUGAUGGCGGCCAAACAUAAGAACAAGAUUGCCACGCCGGUUAACUGGAAACCAGAUGAACCGGUUGUUAUCUCACCAGCUGUGUCAGACGAAGAGGCUAAGAAGUUGUUUCCUCAGGGUUUCAAGACUGCCGAACUUCCGUCCAAGAAAGGCUACCUACGUGUCGCCGAUGUCUCUUGAAAGACCGAAAAGAAAGAAACUAGUUAUGUUGUAUGAGUGGAUUGUAUAAUAAUGCUCACAAUGGGUUGAUAAAAAUAUGAAAAACUACGUUUGUAACGUAUCGUGUGUGUACUCUGGAGGAUAUAGCCUUAUAUUAAUAGAAAUAAUGUAUGUUUUAUAAA